rnacentral:misc_RNA from 1 species
GAUGAAGAACGUAGCGAAAUGCGAUAAGUAGUGUGAAUUGCAGAAUUCAGUGAAUCAUCGAAUCUUUGAACGCACAUUGCGCCCCCUGGCAUUCCGGGGGGCAUGCCUGUCCGAGCGUCAUUUCUGCCCUCAAGCACGGCUUGUGUGUUGGGUGUGGUCCCCCCGGGGACCUGCCCGAAAGGCAGCGGCGACGUCCGCCUAGGUCCUCGAGCGUAUGGGGCUUUGUCACUCGCUCGGGAGGGGCCUGCGGGCGUUGGUCAUCCACUAUUUUUCCACGAUUGACCUCGGAUCAGGUAGGAGUUACCCGCUGAACUUAAGCAUAUCAAUAAGCGGAGGA